AAUAGAUACCCGGGUAGUCCACGCCGUAAACUAUGAGAGCUAGACGUCGGGCGGCUUGCCGUUCGGUGUCGCAGCUAACGCAUUAAGCUCUCCGCCUGGGGAGUACGGCCGCAAGGUUAAAACUCAAAGGAAUUGACGGGGGCCCGCGACAAGCGGUGGAGCAUGUGGUUUUAAUUUCGAAGCAACGCGCAGAACCUUACCAUCCCUUGACUUGGAUAUCGCGGCCCGGGAGACCGGGCUUUCAGUUCGGCUGGAUAUCACACAGGUGCUGCAUGGCUGUCGUCAGCUCGUGUCGUGAGAUGUUGGGUUAAGUCCCGCAACGAGCGCAACCCUCGCUGCUAGUUGCCAGCAUUCAGUUGGGCACUCUAGCGGAACCGCCGGUGAUAAGCCGGAGGGAGGUGGGGAUGACGUCAAGUCCUCAUGGCCCUUACGGGAUGGGCUACACACGUGCUACAAUGGUGGUGACAGAGGGUAAUCCCUAAAAGCCAUCUCAGUUCGGAUCGGGGUCUCGCAACGUCGACCCCGUGAAGUUGGAAUCG
rnacentral:rRNA from 1 species